GUGGGGAAUUUUGGACAAUGGGCGCAAGCCUGAUCCAGCAAUGCCGCGUGCAGGAAGAAGGCCUUCGGGUUGUAAACUGCUUUUGUCAGGGAAGAAAUCUUCUGGGCUAAUACCCCGGGAGGAUGACGGUACCUGAAGAAUAAGCACCGGCUAACUACGUGCCAGCAGCCGCGGUAAUACGUAGGGUGCGAGCGUUAAUCGGAAUUACUGGGCGUAAAGCGUGCGCAGGCGGUUAUGUAAGACAGAUGUGAAAUCCCCGGGCUCAACCUGGGAACUGCAUUUGUGACUGCAUGACUGGAGUGCGGCAGAGGGGGAUGGAAUUCCGCGUGUAGCAGUGAAAUGCGUAGAUAUGCGGAGGAACACCGAUGGCGAAGGCAAUCCCCUGGGCCUGCACUGACGCUCAUGCACGAAAGCGUGGGGAGCAAACAGGAUUAGAUACCCUGGUAGUCC
rnacentral:rRNA from 1 species